rnacentral:rRNA from 1 species
UACGUAGGGUGCGAGCGUUAAUCGGAAUUACUGGGCGUAAAGCGUGCGCAGGCGGUUUUGUAAGCCCGAUGUGAAAUCCCCGGGCUUAACCUGGGAAUGGCAUUUGGGACUGCAAGGCUUGAGUGCGGCAGAGGAGACUAGAAUUCCUGGUGUAGCAGUGAAAUGCGUAGAUAUCAGGAGGAAUACCGAUGGCGAAGGCAGGUCUCUGGGCUGACACUGACGCUCAUGCACGAAAGCGUGGGUAGCAAACAGG